UACAGAGGGUGCAAGCGUUAAUCGGAAUUACUGGGCGUAAAGCGUGCGUAGUCGGUUAUCUAAGUCGGGUGUGAAAUCCCCGGGCUCAACCUGGGAAUUGCAUUCGAUACUGGAUAGCUAGAGUUCGGCAGAGGGAAGCGGAAUUUCGGGUGUAGCGGUGAAAUGCGUAGAUAUCUGGAGGAACACCGGUGGCGAAGGCGGCAUCCUGGACCAAUACUGACGCUGAGGAGCGAAAGCCAGGGGAGCAAACGGG
rnacentral:rRNA from 1 species